GGAAAGACAAGGGCUUCAGUGGGGAAUCUCAUCUUACCCUGAGACAGAAGUAGGGAAAGGAGAGCAAACAAGGAAAAAUAGAGCUCCUAGGGAAGGGAAAGGGGACAGAAAGGCAGCUGCUAGAGCUGUCAGAGAUGUCAAUAGGAGGGACAUUGAAGGCCAUGACAUCACAGGAAAAGCACCUAUCAGCAGCAGGGAAACUUGCAUCCUGGUCUUUCUGCUGAAGAAGAUCCUGAGCUACCGCCUUGCCUAGCCUGCCUGACAGGAUCAUGGGCUGCAGGCUCCUCUGCUGUGUGGCCCUCUGUCUUCUGAGAGCAGGCUCCUUGGACACAGCUGUUUCCCAGGAUCCAAAAUAUCUUGUUACACAGGUGGGAAACAAAAAGUCACUAAACUGUAGACAGAAUCUGGGCCACAAUGCUAUGUACUGGUAUAAGCAAGACUCCAAGCAACUGCUGAAGCUCAUGUUUAUCUACUAUAACAAGGAACUCAAUCUCAAUGAAACAGUCCCAGGUCGCUUCUCACCAGAAGCUCCAGACAAAGCUCGUUUAAACCUUCAUGUCAAGUUCCCAGAACUAGAAGAUUCUGCCAUGUAUCUCUGUGCCAGCAGCCAAGACACAGCCUUGCAGAUUCACUGCCUUCCUGUACACAAACCUCCCGGCCAGCCAGGAAGCGGCGGUGGCCUUGUGUUCACUCCUGCCUGUGCCCCCAUUCCCCAGCCCUUGGGACCAGAAUGA